rnacentral:rRNA from 1 species
UGCAGUCUGAAACUCGAGUGCAUGAAGCUGGAAUCGCUAGUAAUCGCAAAUCAGAAUGUUGCGGUGAAUACGUUCCCGGGUCUUGUACACACCGCCCGUCACACCAUGGGAGUUGGAAAUGCCCGAAGUCAGUGACCCAACCUAAGGGAGGGAGCUGCCGAAGGCAGGUUCGAUGACUGGGGUGAAGUCGUAACAAGGUAGC